rnacentral:rRNA from 1 species
AGAGUUUGAUCCUGGCUCAGGAUGAACGCUGGCGGCGUGCUUAACACAUGCAAGUCGAACGGGAAACAUUUUGAUGAAGCUUCGGCAGAUUUAGCUUGUUUCUAGUGGCGGACGGGUGAGUAACGCGUGGGUAACCUGCCUCACACUGGGGGAUAACAGUCAGAAAUGACUGCUAAUACCGCAUAAGCGCACGGAACCGCAUGGUUUUGUGUGAAAAACUCCGGUGGUGUGAGAUGGACCCGCGUUGGAUUAGCCAGUUGGCAGGGUAACGGCCUACCAAAGCGACGAUCCAUAGCCGGCCUGAGAGGGUGAACGGCCACAUUGGGACUGAGACACGGCCCAGACUCCUACGGGAGGCAGCAGUGGGGAAUAUUGCACAAUGGGGGAAACCCUGAUGCAGCGACGCCGCGUGAAGGAAGAAGUAUCUCGGUAUGUAAACUUCUAUCAGCAGGGAAGAUAAUGACGGUACCUGACUAAGAAGCCCCGGCUAACUACGUGCCAGCAGCCGCGGUAAUACGUAGGGGGCAAGCGUUAUCCGGAUUUACUGGGUGUAAAGGGAGCGUAGACGGAGCAGCAAGUCUGAUGUGAAAGGCAGGGGCUCAACCCCUGGACUGCAUUGGAAACUGUUGAUCUUGAGUACCGGAGGGGUAAGCGGAAUUCCUAGUGUAGCGGUGAAAUGCGUAGAUAUUAGGAGGAACACCAGUGGCGAAGGCGGCUUACUGGACGGUAACUGACGUUGAGGCUCGAAAGUGCGGGUAUCAAACAGGAUUAGAUACCCUGGUAGUCCGCACAGUAAACGAUGAAUACUCGCGGUUGGCGAUAUACAGUCAGCCGCCAAGCGAAAGCGUUAAGUAUUCCACCUGGGGAGUACGCCGGCAACGGUGAAACUCAAAGGAAUUGACGGGGGCCCGCACAAGCGGAGGAACAUGUGGUUUAAUUCGAUGAUACGCGAGGAACCUUACCCGGGCUUGAACUGCCAGUGACGCAUGCAGAGACGCAUGUUUCUUCGGACACUGGCGGAGGUGCUGCAUGGUUGUCGUCAGCUCGUGCCGUGAGGUGUCGGCUUAAGUGCCAUAACGAGCGCAACCCUCAUUCUCGUUUGCCAUCAGGUUAAGCUGGGCACUCCGGGAAUACUGCCAUCGUAAGAUGUGAGGAAGGUGGGGAUGACGUCAAAUCAGCACGGCCCUUACGUCCGGGGCUACACACGUGUUACAAUGGGCGGUACAGAGGGUCGCUACCUGGUGACAGGACGCCAAUCCUCAAAGCCGUUCUCAGUUCGGACUGGAGUCUGCAACCCGACUCCACGAAGCUGGAUUCGCUAGUAAUCGCGCAUCAGCCAUGGCGCGGUGAAUACGUUCCCGGGCCUUGCACACACCGCCCGUCA